AAAAAAAAAAAAAAAAAACUUUAUCACCCCAAUUCCAUCCAAAGACAGAAUUUUAGAAUCCCAUUUUUUUCUUUUUUCAUCUUCUACAACUGAAAUUGCGUAGUAAGCUCAACACCCGAUUAUUUGCCUUAUAAAGAAGAAUUAAUCUCAAAAAAUUCGAAAUAAAAUAAACCCAUCAUUACAGCAACGAAACCCUAACUCUUAUAUAUUGAAAAAUGGAAUAUUUCUAAAACACUAUAAUUUAUUUAAAAGCAAUUAAAUUCGAAAACCGGCCAAAACGGAAGAAGAUUCUAUCAAGCAGAAGAGAAAUCGAAAAUAAUUCAAAUCGCGAGUAAUAAAAGAGAUUUUGUUCAAACUGAAGCAAAUAAAAAGGGGGGGAAAUUGAUUAAAAAAGGGAAAAUAAUACUGAAAUAUAAAUACAAUACCU
rnacentral:misc_RNA from 1 species